rnacentral:rRNA from 1 species
AGAGUUUGAUCCUGGCUCAGAACGAACGCUGGCGGCAGGCUUAACACAUGCAAGUUGAACGGGAUUUGUAUGGUGCUUGCACCAUGUAAUGAGAGUAGCGCACUGGUGAGUAACACGUGGGAACAUACCUUGAAGUGGGGGACAACAGUUGGAAACGACUGCUAAUACCGCAUAAUCCCUGAGGGGGAAAGAUUUAUCGCUUUAAGAUUGGCCCGCGGAAGAUUAGGUAGUUGGUGGGGUAAAGGCCUACCAAGCCGACGAUCUAUAGCUGGUCUGAGAGGACGAACAGCCACAUUGGAACUGAGACACGGUCCAGACUCCUACGGGAGGCAGCAGUGAGGAAUAUUGGGCAAUGGAGGAAACUCUGACCCAGCCAUGCCGCGUGAGUGAAGAAGGUUUUCGAAUUGUAAAGCUCUUUCGGAUGGGACGAUGAUGACGGUACCAUCUAAAGAAGCCCCGGCAAACUUCGUGCCAGCAGCCGCGGUAAUACGAAGGGGGCAAGCGUUGUUCGGAAUUACUGGGCGUAAAGGGUGUGUAGGCGGAUUUGUAAGAUAGUGGUGAAAUACCUGAGCUCAACUUAGGAAUUGCCAUUAUAACUAUAGAUCUGGAGUGACAGAGAGGAUAUUGGAAUACCCAGUGUAGAGGUGAAAUUCGUAGAUAUUGGGUAGAACACCAGUGGCGAAGGCGAGUAUCUGGCUGUCAACUGACGCUGAGGCACGAAAGCAUGGGGAUCAAACAGGAUUAGAUACCCUGGUAGUCCAUGCUGUAAACGAUGAAUGCUAGUUGUCGGCAAAAGCCGGUGACGCAGUUAACGCGAUAAGCAUUCCGCCUGGGGAGUACGGUCGCAAGAUUAAAACUCAAAGGAAUUGACGGGGACCCGCACAAGCGGUGGAGCAUGUGGUUUAAUUCGAUGCAACGCGAAGAACCUUACCUGGUCUUGACAUCCACGGAAGUUUUCAGAGAUGAGAAUGUGCCUUCGGGAACCGUGAGACAGGUGCUGCAUGGCUGUCGUCAGCUCGUGUCGUGAGAUGUUGGGUUAAGUC